GCGGUACUUGGACCGUAGUAAGGUAGCAUAAUCAAUUGGCUUUUAAAUGGAGUCUGGGAUGAACGGGAUAUUGGGGUUAAGCUAUCUUACUAAGAUUUUAUUGAAAUUACUUUAAAAGUGAAAAAGCUUUUAUUUGACAAAAGACGAGAAGACCCUAGGAGUUUUAUUUUUGUUGGGGCGACAUUCUAAAAAUAACUUAUUAUUAAAAAUUAUCAACUUUUAGUUUUAACUUAUAAGCUACCCUAGGGAUAACAGCAUAAUUCUUUUGAGUUUGUGACCUCGAUGUUGGACUAGGAAAAAUAAUUACUAGCAGUAAUUGUUUAUUGUUCUGUUCGAACAAAUACUCCU
rnacentral:rRNA from 1 species